rnacentral:rRNA from 1 species
CCUACGGGGGGCUGCAGUGGGGAAUUUUCCGCAAUGGGCGAAAGCCUGACGGAGCAAUACCGCGUGGGGGAGGAAGGCUCUUGGGUUGUAAACCUCUUUUCUCAGGGAAUAAUAAUGAAGGUACCUGAGGAAUCAGCAUCGGCUAACUCCGUGCCAGCAGCCGCGGUAAUACGGAGGAUGCAAGCGUUAUCCGGAAUGAUUGGGCGUAAAGCGUCCGCAGGUGGCAGUGUAAGUCUGCUGUUAAAGAAUGAGGCUUAACCUCAUCAGAGCAGUGGAAACUACACAGCUAGAGUGCGUUCGGGGUAGAGGGAAUUCCUGGUGUAGCGGUGAAAUGCGUAGAGAUCAGGAAGAACACCGGUGGCGAAAGCGCUCUACUAGGCCGCAACUGACACUGAGGGACGAAAGCUAGGGGAGCGAAUGGGAUUAGAUACCCUAGUAGUC